GCAGCUAAGUGAUGCUGAUGCACAGAUUAACUUGUGGCUCUGGUGGUGAGAGUGAAAUACAUUUGCCUGGCAGUCAUCUGACCUUAGCCCUGGAUGGGGAUAGGCAGCUGCAAGAUGCUUGAGGGAUGAGGCACUGCAGUCUCUCUUGGAGGGGGAGAGUCAUUGUAGCUGAGUGAGCUUCCGUGAUCCAGACUCAGGAGUUGUGUUUAUAAUUCAGUGAGAUUUGGGUGUAUGCAUAGUACAACCUACCAGAACCUGGAAUGUUACCAACACUGGUAACUUUCACCCAAUCUAAUGUGCAUGUAUGACAGGACAUAUUCAAAGUCUUAUAACUCAGCCAAGGCAAAGUAGACUUUCACUGGGAUACAAAAAAGCACCUCUGAAUCCUGAAAGCUAUUUUGCUGUCAAAUUUAAAUUUUCUACCUCUGCUCACUUCACUACCAUAGCUAUUCAAAAGGAUAUCCCAAACUCUUAUAAUGGGAAAAGUUAGUUUUUGUCACUCCUAUUGUUCUCAAUGUCAUGGGAACCAUAUUUGCCCAGACUUGCAAAAAAAUAUACCUUGAAGCCUGGAAGAUUUUCACCCAAUAGUUACAAUUUUUAUUAAAUACUGAUCAACAGAAAAUGUGUUGAGGAUAGACAUCAGACAACUUUAUAGCUGUAAUGGCAGCUACCUCUAUAAUAACCCCAGUUCUGGGAUGCUCCUGCUGUUUUGGAUUGCUGUGCCAGCAUAACGCAUCCAUAAACCUGGCAAAUCCAGCCCUUGCAUGAUCUCCCUUGUGUAGAGGUUUUCUUGGGUAGUAUAUUGCCACCAUAGCUGCUUCUACACCACCUUUUGUUCAUGGAUGCCAGCAUAGGGAGUGUAGCUUUCGUUCUUAUAAACCCCAGCAAUCCUCAGCUGCUUUCAUUACCUUUUAGAGCUAUUGGGAAUGGUUACAGUAGCUUUUACAUUGCUCCAACUUGUGCCAGGGGACUGGCCCAGAACAAUGUAGCUCCAGGACUGGGAGCAAACCAUCUGUUUCAGUGCAUUGUGAUAAUAAAGUCCAUUAUUUUCCAUGAUUUUCCUCUGUUGGCUGCCUGGGGCUAAGAGCAGGGGCCCGGGGCUCUCACUGUCAAAAUUGCAGUGGAGGCCGAAUAUUGCAGAAUCCGCAAAAUCACAGGGAAAACACUAUGCCUGUGUUGUGAGGGGCACAGGCUGCACCUUGACAUUCAUAUUGUGGAUAUUGUAGCCGACUACCUUCUAAAAUUGGUGUCAGAUCAACUCUAUGCCUCUAUUCCUGGAGAAUGUUUGGCCAAGUACUAUCACCUGUGGGUAGCACAGCUCAAGGAGGAUGCUAAGAAGUGAGGGCUUCAAGUCUUGUUCUACAGGAAGGAGAUCCAGUUGAAUACCAGACAGUUCUCCUCUCCUUUCUCAUUUAGUGGAGCCCCAUUGGAAGUACAGAUUAUAAGAGACAGGAAGGAAACAUGGAAAGGCAUUAGGAGGUGUGACACAAAGGCCCAUUUGUGGUUCUCGACUAUGGCCAUGUUUACACUACUAAGUUAAGUCGACUUUAUGUAAGUCGCCAUCGAGCCUCUGAUUUAAGCAAGUCGAUCUUGCGUGUCCACACUAUGCUCAUUGUAUCGGCGGAGUGCGUCCUCAAUAGCAGAGCUUGCAUCGAUGCAUGGAGCAUUGUGGGAGCUAUCCCACAGUGCAUGUAGCCGAGUGGAAUUUUGGGUUGGGCUUGCAGUACCUUAUGGGACCAAAACAUUUGCGCGGGUGGUUAUGGGAAUAUGGCGUUAGCCUCCUAUAAUGGACUUACCUCCUUCCCUCCCUCCCUCUCUGAAAUCAACAGCAAACAAACAAAGCCCUUUUUGUGCCUUUUUUUGUAAGCCUGGGUUAUGUGUACAGAUGCCAUAUUACGAUAAGCACGUACACUGUUGUUGUAAGCGUUACAAACAUCUCAUGCCUUAUCCUGUAGUAUUUACACAGCCAAUACAGGAGCCACCGCGCAGAACAAUGUGAUGCCACGCAAGCAGCCCUGCUGGAAGACAUAGAGCAGAGCAGUUUGCAGUUUCUGGCAACAGUCACGCAUCAUCGUGACACAGUUGAGCGCCGCUUCUGGGUCUGGGAAACAAGCACUAACUGGUGGAACUGCAUCAUUAUUUAGCCAUGGGAUGAUGAACAGUGGUUGCAGAACUUUCAGAUGCAUAAGGCCACUUUCCAGGAACUGUGUGAAGAGCUUUCCCCAGCCCUGAAGCGCAGCAAUACUAAAAUGAGAGCUGCUCUGACAAUGGAGAAGCGAGUGGUGAUAGCUUUGUGGAAGCCUGCAACGCCAACUGCUACUGGUCAGUUGGGAAUCAAUUUGGAGUGUGUAAACCUACUGUGGGAUCUGUUGUGAUCCAAGUUUGCAGGGCCAUGAACAGACUUAUUCUAAGAAGUGUAGUGACUCUGGGCAAUGUGCAGGACAUAGUGGAUGGUUUUGCCAUGAUGGGGUUCCCUAACUGUGGUGGGGCUAUAG